rnacentral:lncRNA from 1 species
CCCCGCCCCAGACCACUCCCCAAUUCCCACUCCUAGCCCCGCGCCCGCCCUCCGACCCCGCCCCGGGGUCCACCCAUCCCUGUCCCCUGACCUCAGGUCCCGCCCCCCCGGCGCUAGUGGCCGGGCCAUAGGCGCGAGUCUCAGUCUGCGCCUCCGCUUUGAGCCCAGUUGAGCGCUCCCGGCGGUUUCCAGGGCACCUCCCCACCCCUCCUCUGAUCGCCAAGGCCUGGCCCGUGCGUGUGCUCACACCCCGGGGCGCAGUGCUAGGCUUUACAAAGAAGGCCUGGACCCCCUCCGCGGCUCAACCUCCCAAAUCUGGGGGCCUUCUUGAGCGUUAGGCCCGGCCAGGGAAGCAGGGGCAGCCGCAGGACGGGAGGGGCGAGGCUUCCAGCAGAGGCUGCGGGGUCGAGGCCUGGGCGGCAGAGAUGGGGAGAUAAAGUCAGAUAUCGCUAGAAGUUCUUUGAAAUCAUGAAGAAGUUUCUUCUUAUACAAGAGCAAAGCAAGAAGAAAUGGGAAGUUUGGGACGGGGCUAGAGCUGCAAGAGGAGGCUGAGAAGCAAGAGAAUCUGUGACAGUACCAGGGCUCCAGAGCCUCCCAAGUCACCCCCAGCCUAAAAGUCUUCAGCGAGACAGGGGCGUUGGGAUCCAGAGCGCAGCUGUCAGGUGAGUUCUCGGCUUCACCUCGGAGUUCUCCCGCUCCGCGCCAGGGGAGGCGGCUUAGGAGCAAGUCGGGGGUGGAGAGGCGCCCAGGUAGGCCCGGCCCCUCCCCGCCCUGCCUGUCUUCCCACCUCCGACCCGACUGCUCUCCCAAAC